CUUACAAUCCCGCUCGUUGGUGCUCGCGGUGUGGUUCACAUGCCGCAGUUCAACGGGAAGCAGGAGGGAAAGUUCACACGAACAGACCUAACCUGCGCUGCCCCCGCAACGGUAAGCAGACGGGACCACUGAAGCCAUUUCAGGUGUCUCCGCUUUCAUCCCGCAGCCACUGGCGAACCGGCUCAGACCGGUUCACUGGGAAGGCGAUGAAGGUUGUUCUGUCAGCCCGGAUACCGGCCAACAAGGUGGCGGUGCG
rnacentral:ncRNA from 2 species